UACGUAGGGGGCUAGCGUUGUCCGGAAUCAUUGGGCGUAAAGCGCGUGUAGGCGGCCCGGUAAGUCCGCUGUGAAAGUCGGGGGCUCAACCCUCGGAUGCCGGUGGAUACUGUCGGGCUCGAGUACGGAAGAGGCGAGUGGAAUUCCUGGUGUAGCGGUGAAAUGCGCAGAUAUCAAGAGGAACACCUGCGGCGAAGGCGGGUUGCUGGGCCGACACUGACGCUGAUGCGCGAAAGCUAGGGGAGCGAACGGG
rnacentral:rRNA from 1 species